rnacentral:misc_RNA from 1 species
GCAACAACUUUGCGGACCUGCAAUCACUCCCUAGAUCCAUUGGAAACCUUGAGAUGCUUGAGGAGCUGGAUAUGAGUAACAACCAGAUACGAAUUCUACCAGAUUCAUUUAGGAUGCUUUCGCGUUUGCGUGUACUAAAGACAGAAGGAAAUCCUCUUGAAGUGCCACCAGGAAACGUUAUCGAGAUGGGAGCACAGGCUGUUGUGCAGCAUAUGGCUGAUGUUGUUGAAAAGAGGGAUGCGAAGCCACAACCAGUUAAGCAAAAGAAAUCAUGGGCUCAGAUAUGCUGUUUUUCAAGAUCCAACAAACGUAAGCGCAAUGGUAUAGACUAUGUCGUCCAAGCGUGACACACGUAUAAACUCUUGACCCUAUAUUUAUCUGGUAACUUUGUUCCCUUUACUGCCUCUGCUUCCAGCUAUUAGUCUGUUGGCGAUAGAAAACUGGAGGUUUAGUAUUCAGUAACCAGCUGGUGAUCCAGUAUUCAUGGCACUGAUCCAGCAGAUUGGGGUUGGAUAGUUGUUAGCUCUUACACAUUUGUUGUUUAAU